rnacentral:rRNA from 1 species
UCUACGGGGGGCAGCAGUGGGGAAUAUUGGGCAAUGGGCGCAAGCCUGACCCAGCAACGCCGCGUGAAGGAAGAAGGCUUUCGGGCUGUAAACUUGUUUUAUGAGGGACGAAGGAAGUGACGGUACCUCAUGAAUAAGCCACGGCUAACUACGUGCCAGCAGCCGCGGUAAUACGUAGGUGGCGAGCGUUAUCCGGAUUUACUGGGGGUAAAGGGCGUGUAGGCGGGAUUGCAAGUCAGAUGUGAAAAUUAUGGGCUCAACCCAUAGCCUGCAUUUGAAAAUGUAGUUCUUGAGUGCUGGAGAGGCAAUCGGAAUUCCGUGUGUAGCGGUGAAAUGCGUAGAUAUACGGAGGAACACCAGUGGCGAAGGCGGAUUGCUGGACAGUAACUGACGCUGAGGCGCGAAAGCGUGGGGAGCAAACAGGAUUAGAUACCCGUGUAGUC